UAAAUUCUAGCUUUUUUUUCCUUGCCUUUUGGGAACAGAAUUUCUGCUAGGGUAGCUUUGAACACCCAGGCCUCCUGCUUUAGCCUACUGAGUGCUCAGAUUAUGGGUGAACGCCACCACACCGUAGUCCAUGCUGGUUAUAUAGACCAGAGGUGCUGAACUUCCAGCUAGGAGGUAGCUCAGACAGUGCUUCUGAUGUAGGACCUGAAUCAGAGUCAACUCAAUUUUGAAAGACUCAUAUUUCAGGAUGGAGUUUUCUUCUGUAAGAAUUAAUUUUGAUUGGUGGGGAGCAGGAUGGUGGAAAGAAGUUGGAAAUGACAUAGAGCAUUUUGCCUUAGCAUGUAGACAUGAGACUGAAACAUACCCAUUAGGGAGGAACACGUCAGAACUGACAUCGAGGUAAUGGUUUGGGAGUACAGAGUCUGGUCUCGUUUGACUCUAAUCUACAUGCUUGCAUGACUGAAACUGAAACUAUACAAAAUUAGAAAAGAAAAAGCUUUACUUUCAUUCCCUGUAGACGGGGCAGAAUUAGCCAUUCACACCAAUGGUUGCCAUGGGUAGAUGGAGACCAUUCUCUAUAAGAGAACCAAGGAAUUUAAAGAAAGUGGGUGCUAUUUAGGUUGAAGUACAAGUCCACAGCCUGUUCCAGUCUGGUCCUGCAACGAGGGAGCCAAGAAGAUCACUUCUCUCUUCCUGGUACGUGUGAUAGAUUUUAACUACAUUAUGACUUUGAAUAACAAAUAAAUAUCUAACAAUAUCCCCAGAAACUUGUUUUGAAUAUUUGAAAAUUCCAGAAUCAGCACAUUAAAAACGAGUACCUACUUGUCUGGGGUAUGCAAUGUGCCGGGUCAGAGAAGAAACAAAAUAGUUUUAAGCUGUCUUCAACUUAUUUGUGAACUAAAAGGAGAAGCCCCAUCCUUAUGAUCAUGCUUGUUUUUCUUCCUAUGUCCCGGAAUGUUUGUCUCUAACCAAAUACGACUGACUAGGUUUGUCCAGAGGCCAUCAAAGGGUUAGAGGUAAGAAGGAAGUGUGGAAAGUUGACAAGGAAUCACCAAAAGAAGACCCAAAAGAGAAAGUCCCAUUAAGCUUGAUGACAAACACAGUCUAAAGCCAUAUCCAUGAGUGCCAGGUUUUUCAAACUGAAGUAACCAACGACAUCAAAACUGUGGACAAAGCUUCUUUGUGAAGAGGUGAAGAAGAUUUGGUGUUCGUUAAGAAGCAAACGAGCAGGGGUUGGGGAUUUAGCUCAGUGGUAGAGCACUUGCCUAGCAAGCUCAAGGCCCUGGGUUUGGUCCCCAGCUCCGAAAAAAAGAAAAAAAAAAAAGAAAAAAAGAAAAAAAGAAGAAGCAAAUGAGCUAACCUGUUCUCUGUGCUCCAAAAGGACAACACAGCUCUAUUUUGGCGAGUUAGAUCUAGUUUCCUUUGAAGAGCUCUGGGUGAGCAUUUGCUGCAUACCACGUGACUGGACGCUAUUGACUUAGUGGGAUACCUUGAGAUGAAAAAUCACAACAGAAAUGCUUCUUGAUUAAUGAAAUAUUCUCAUUCAAAUCCAAGAUCUCGGUUAUCUCAGUCUUGGCUAGAGAAGCAGUCAACACAGAGGCUCAUAACUGGGCUAUGUGCCGUGGAACAGCUUCUUGUUCAGACACUUUCUAAGGGCAAAAAAGGGCAAGUAGAAAACGACGGUGGAAAAAGCAUUUGGAGCAGGUUAGUCAUAGAGGAGAAAGUGUAAGUACAGUACUAUUUGCUAAGACCACAAUAGGAAGUGUGAUUGUGGUGUCCAUGCGUCCUUGUAUUGUAGAAGGAGAGGGCAGUGUUAAGUGACUGAAGCCUUCCUUUGAUACUUGUUGAUCCUUUCUAUAAGGAGGGAUGCCUCUUACACAGGCAGGGCUUAGCAGGUCGCCUGUCAGGACAAGCCCAGAGGUGGCAUUACUUGCUGUUUGCUGAUCAAUGAGUCUUUGGAGCUCUAAGAACUCAGGCUCAAGGAGUGACUCUGGGAAGAUGAGUUGUGUGGCUCUGCCCUGGAUUCCACAGUCUAGCACAGGACGGUGAUUUAGUGCCUCGUGACUCAAAAUCCCCAAAGCUUGCUUACUUUUCCUCAGCCUGCAGUGCCCAGAAUGGAGCUGUUGGCAAAUCGCAGUCCACACCCCCACUUUUCAAUCUUUUCGCUAAUUUCUUACUACUUCACUUGAGAGAGUCCCAGAAGAACGGUGUGAUGAUUCAUCAGCCCUACUUCCUCAUUUCUGCUGACAGAGAGCUAACUUUGUCUCCAUUUCCAUGGUCGUCCCAAAAGAGCAAAAACAAAACAACUUUAAAAAAAUUUUAAUUUGCUACGGUAAACCCCCUGAAGUGUGUUAUCCGUGGGGAACAAGAACAUGAUAAGCCCAAUGUGUCGUUUGCCUUUAAAAAUAUUUGAUGGCGAUUUUGUAAUUUUCUUUCUUAGUUUGGUGCGAAGUGACUUCCUGUGAGCUGGAGAGGCCAAAGGCUGGAGAGACCCCACUGUAGCCCAUUCUAUGACUGAGAGAUCCGAGACCCCAAGAGCCUACAAGAUUUCCUGUUUCUACACAACCGCUCAGUAGCAUACAGAUUUGGGCAGGGAUCUGCUAGUUUUAGGCUGUGAUUUUCUGUAACUUUGUGGAUGAUAAAUAGAUCGAAGCUUAUCUGUGCUAUGUCACAAGGAAACACAUAACCAUAAAACUUUCUGGUGAGAGCAUUUCUUUGUUUGGACAGAGGAGAAUGGGGGAAAUCAUGUCUGUUUCCUAAUAUGUGUUGUAAGAAUGGGUGGGAAGGUGCUCAUAGUUUAAGCACACAGUAGGUGGUCAGUAAUAACUUUAAUCAUUACAGAUGACCUGGUAAAGUGCUCCCUGGUUCUCUGAGGCUUCCUUUCACCCAUUUCUGUUCUUUAGGCCAGAGUGCUUUCUCCUGCUCUGCAAGGCUCAGCGCUGAAUUUCCUGUGACAUUUGCAUCUGAGUUGUCUCAUUUCCCUGAAGCCCUGUCACAAGCCCUGAGGUUGCUACAGAGAAAGAUCUGAAACCCCCGCCAGGGAAGUCCCAUGGAGAAGUAUUGCCUUCCUUUCUGGAGUUUACAGCUCUCUUCCAGAUAGCUGACCCUCUCAGCUGUGGCUCCCAGGCCACUGAUAGGGCAAAGGGUGGUGGUGGCCAGGGACUGUCCCCCAGGUCUGCUUCUGGCCCUGGCUCCUUCCAGCAUCCCCUUCAGAUGACUUUGUCUGACUUUCCCCGAUUUUGUGCUUUGCUUUUCACCCUCCUCCCCCACCAGUGGAAAUUUAGAGGGUUCUGUGGUUCUUACAGGACUCUGGGGCUGUACAUUUAAUGUGCUCACUUCCUCUAUAGAUCCCAGGGGAUUCCUAAAGCAGAUUGCUUGCCCAGCACCCCAGCACGCUCCCUCACCCAGGAUGGAGUUGCCACAUAGGCGGACUCUUCAAAGUCUCAGCUACAAAAAUAUGUGUGUGUGUCUGUGUGUGUGUAUGUGUGUGUGUGUGUGUGUGUGUGUGUGUGUACAUCCAUUCAUUUUUGCAGCAUUUUUUUGUAAUUUAAAUUUACAUUUUCUAUAAUUUAAAUGCCAUGUGUCUAUCACAAUAAAAUAGUCAAUUUAAUUAAGUGUUUAUUUAUUUAAUUAUAGUAUGUAUGUCUGCAUUUCUGUGCUUAUAUAAGUGCUUGUGUGGAUGUGUCUCUGAGUAUAUUGUUCGUGUGUUUGCACAUAUGUGGUAGGUGUAUGUCUGUGUGUGUGC
rnacentral:sRNA from 1 species